rnacentral:rRNA from 1 species
CAGCCGCCGCGGUAAAACGUAGGUGGCGAGCGUUGUCCGGAAUUAUUGGGCGUAAAGGGAGCGCAGGCGGACAUAUAAGUCCAUCUUAAAAGUGCGGGGCUCAACCCCGUGAGGGGAUGGAAACUGUAUGCCUUGAGUGCAGGAGAGGAAAGCGGAAUUCCCAGUGUAGCGGUGAAAUGCGUAGAUAUUGGGAGGAACACCAGUGGCGAAGGCGGCUUUCUGGACUGUAACUGACGCUGAGGCUCGAAAGCCAGGGGAGCGAACGGGAUUAGAUACCCGUGUAGUCCCUGUCUCUUAUACA